CCCGCUGGAGGGCGCUGCAGAGGUUCUGCGGCUCCCUGAGACCAGCAGAUUCCUGGUCUCCGGGUCCCUGGGUCCCGGACGUGUCCAUCAAGGCGUCCAUUAGGGCCAUCACCUAAUGGACAAGCAUCAGGAGGAUGUGGCUUCUGCGGGAGAGCUUCAAAGGGUGCCCUACUUGCCCCUCUUGGUAACCAUGACGUCAUGGAAAUGGGAGGGGACCGCCCCAGCCCCCAAACACCUGGAGGGAAGUGGGAGACUUUUUCCACUUCCUGUUCUACUUGUGGCUACUGACUCAAUGUCUGACCUGUUUAUUAAUUGCAAAAUAUAGCUCUAUGUGUGCUACCCAGAGAGGCCUCAGGCCUGUGUGUCUCUGUGUGAAAGGAGGCCUGCACUCCCCACCCCUCGCCGCGUUGCCCAGGUGGCCUUGACACAGACGCAGGGCGCUGGUGGUCCUGCAGCCUUCCGGCAGCCAGAAUGACAGCACUGGGUCUCCAUGUGCUUGCUCCCCCAGACUCAUCCCAGUCAGAAGCUCGUCUUCCCACACAUGGCUCACGGAGGUAGAUGGGUUUUAGAGUAGGACUCAUGGAGAAACUGAGGCGAACCCACAUAAAGUGACUGUUGGCUCUGGACCUCAGUGUGGUCACACAGUGAGGUCAGACUCCCAGGUACCCUGCGUGAUUUACCACAGUCCCUGUCCUCCAGGCUUUGUUGGAUAGAUGUGUGCCUGCCUGGGGGCUGCCCUGAGCAAGGGGCCACCACUCAGGCUUUCCUUGUUCUGAAGUUCUUGACAAGUUACUUUAGCUCUUGGCAAAACUGUGAAGCAUUGACUCACCUGACCACUUCCUCUACUAAUCCCCACUUUCCUUUCUCCUGUACUCCCCACUCCUCACACUCAGCUCCCCCCACCCAGAGCCUAACUGCAGGAGUCAUUCACUUAUUCAUUUAACGGCAUCUGUUGUGUGCCAGGCACUGUUCUAGUUCCUGGGGACACAUUGAUGACAAGGGACAUUCCCAUCCCACAGAGCACACAGG
rnacentral:lncRNA from 1 species